UCGAGAUGAUGUGCAGUUCAUGUUAGAUUUGCUAUUUCUACAGUUAUAGUGAAGUAGAAGAGUCUGAUUGUAAUAUGGGGACAGCAGUUAAAGAAGAAGGACGGAGAGAUGUGUGCAAUGUUGAAGUAGUGGCUGCCACUCCUGCCCGGCACUUCUAGAAUCCUCCAUCUCAAUCCCUGUUCUGAUCUGCUGUGCCUUUGCCAAGUGAUCACGAGUUUAUUGCAAUGGUGCCCCCCUGCGUCUCUACUGUUUGUUUCAUCAACUCCAACUGCCUGUGAUGCCAGAGAGAAGAAAAGUUCACAAGAUGUCCUGAAAUGGCAUUGUGAUUGGACUGAGC